AUUCUGCCCAUGCGGGGAAGGAUGAGAAGCUUCGACCAAGGUUCGACUUGAGCGCCAGCGAGAGAGCGUUGCCGCAGGCAACGACC
rnacentral:sRNA from 1 species